rnacentral:rRNA from 1 species
GAUGAACGCUGGCGGCGUGCUUAACACAUGCAAGUCGAACGGAAAGGCUCCUGCUUGCAGGGGUACUCGAGUGGCGAACGGGUGAGUAACACGUGGGUGAUCUGCCCUGCACUUCGGGAUAAGCCUGGGAAACUGGGUCUAAUACCGGAUAGGACGAUGGUUUGGAUGCCAUUGUGGAAAGUUUUUCGGUGUGGGAUGAGCUCGCGGCCUAUCAGCUUGUUGGUGGGGUAAUGGCCUACCAAGGCGUCGACGGGUAGCCGGCCUGAGAGGGUGUACGGCCACAAUUGGACUGAGAUACGGCCCAGACUCCUACGGGAGGCAGCAGUGGGGAAUAUUGCACAAUGGGCGCAAGCCUGAUGCAGCGACGCCGCGUGGGGGAUGACGGCCUUCGGGUUGUAAACUCCUUUCGCUAGGGACGAAGCGCAAGUGACGGUACCUGGAGAAGAAGCACCGGCUAACUACGUG